ensembl:lncRNA
CUGCUGGCCCCUUCCCUGCGGUGGGCAGAGAAUGUGCUGCCGCUUUGACCCUGCCGCCACUCCCCAAGCCAAAAGUCUCCAGGCCCCUUAGGUUUCGGUGGGUAAAGGCUGCCUUCCAACCAUCCCGGGGAGCAGGCGUCCGCAGCAGCACAUGCCCUCCACCUCUCCGUCCGGUUCAGCACCACUGUGGCUCAAACGUGUCCAUCAGGCUGGGCUGUCGCCCCCAGUGGUUUGCUCAACAUGAGUCCAAGUGUUGUGCUGAAGGCGUUUUGUAGCCCAUGUGACUGCAGUUCUCUCUGCUGACCACCUCCCGAGCCUCGUUAUCUGCCUGCAGUAAACAUUCCUUCCUGGUGCGACCGUGCUGCCUGCUUAGACGUGCAUUCAGAGACCAGGAUCCCCGUGGCGUUCUCGUUGCUCUGAGUGGCACCCCGAGCUCUGCAGUGUCACGCGGCUGUGCCCACCCGCCCACCGUCUGAGCACCUGCUCAGGGCCGGGCCUGCACGUGACUGCUGUCCGCAUACUUGAGUAUCUAAGCUCGGUGACAUCCCAAAGAGAUAGCCCUGGGCUCCCGUCUGUCAUGGGAGGACGCGUCUCACGCUCACAGUCAGUGCUGAGGGCCCGGCAAGAGGUGUGGGGGCCGCCCACCCCCCCAGGGACGAGUGUCCUCCUGGCGGGGAGGCUUCCCAGGUCUGGAGACCGGGGGGCCAUUCCCAGACAGUGAGUCAGCCCUGGAGAACCUGGCUGUGCCUGAGACCGCCCCCCUCCCCAGGGCCUCGCCGGCAUCUUCCUGCCCAGCGCCAGCCCACUUGCUGGCAGCCAGCGAGGAGGGCGUGGAGAUGCUCCGGGGACGUGCUCCGGGGAGAUGCUCCUGGGAGGUGCUCCAGGGCGUCAUGGGUGGCUCGGUGGCCAGCAGAAGGCUGACCCCACAGUCCUGGAGGCCAGAGGGACAUGCCGACUUAGGGCCCGGGACACCCCCCCUGACACUGGCCACGUCUGCAGCAAGCCUGUUUCCAGAGCAGGUCACGCCCCGAGCUCCGGGCAGGACUGGGUGCUGGACAGACAGCCAGGCAGGUGGUGAUGAGCCCGGGGCCCUGGCCCCCUGCCCUGCCCCAUGCUGCCCCCACUGAAGGAAGGGAAGCACCGGGACCGGGGCCUGCUUCACAGCGCGCGCCCUGCGGGGAUGAAGGGGGCUGGGUCGUGCCAGGUUAGGUGCAGUUAGGUGCAGCUCCGUCUCAGGCACGGGCACGGCUCUGUGCUCCAGAAACAUCUGCAGAUAAGCCUGAGCCUCCAGAGGGCAGGGCUGUCUGUGGAGGACCCGCGG